GAUAAACGCUGGCGGCGCACAUAAGACAUGCAAGUCGAACGAAAGUCGUUUUAGGGAAUUAGAGUGAAAGAUUUAUCCGGAACGAAGAUGAACUAAAACAAUGGCUUUAGUGGCGGACUGGUGAGUAACACGUAAGCAACCUGCCUGUUAGAGGGGAAUAACAACGAGAAAUCGUUGCUAAUACCGCAUAUGCCAUAGGAACCACAUGGUUCUAGUGGGAAAGGAGUAAUCCGCUAACAGAUGGGCUUGCGUCUGAUUAGAUAGUUGGUGGGGUAACGGCCUACCAAGUCGACGAUCAGUAGCCGGACUGAGAGGUUCAACGGCCACAUUGGGACUGAGAUACGGCCCAGACUCCUACGGGAGGCAGCAGUCGGGAAUAUUGCGCAAUGGAGGAAACUCUGACGCAGUGACGCCGCGUAUAGGAAGAAGGUUUUCGGAUUGUAAACUAUUGUCGAUAGGGAAGAUAAAAGACUGUACCUAUCAAGAAAGCUACCGGCUAACUACGUGCCAG
rnacentral:rRNA from 1 species